UACGUAGGGGGCAAGCGUUGUCCGGAAUCAUUGGGCGUAAAGAGCGCGUAGGCGGCCAGAUAAGUCCGGUGUAAAAGUCACAGGCUCAACCUGUGAAUGCCGCUGGAAACUGUCUGGCUUGAGUCCGGGAGGGGCGAGUGGAAUUCCUGGUGUAGCGGUGAAAUGCGCAGAUAUCAGGAGGAACACCAAUGGCGAAGGCAGCUCGCUGGAACGGUACUGACGCUGAGGCGCGAAAGCGUGGGGAGCGAACAGG
rnacentral:rRNA from 1 species